rnacentral:rRNA from 1 species
CGGUGUUUAACUGGAGUGAUGUGGGACGUCCUACCGGUGGGCUUAGCCUCACGAGGGGGGGCCCAACUAAUAUCCCGUCGCGGUGCUCUUUACUGAGUGUCGAGUCGGGCCGGUACGUUUACUUUGAACAAAUUAGAGUGCUUAAAGCAGGCUAUCCUCGCCUGAAUACUGCGUGCAUGGAAUAAUGGAAUAGGACCUCGGUUCUAUUUUGUUGGUUUUCGGAACCCCGAGGUAAUGAUUAAUAGGGACAGAUGGGGGCAUUCGUAUUGCGACGUUAGAGGUGAAAUUCUUGGAUCGUCGCAAGACGGACAGAAGCGAAAGCAUUUGCCAAAAAUGUUUUCAUUAAUCAAGAACGAAAGUUAGAGGUUCGAAGGCGAUCAGAUACCGCCCUAGUUCUAACCAUAAACGAUGCCAGCUAGCGAUCCGCCGAAGUUCCUCCCGAUGACUCGGCGGGCAGCUUCCGGGAAACCAAAGCUUUUGGGUUCCGGGGGAAGUAUGGUUGCAAAGCUGAAACUUAAAGGAAUUGACGGAAGGGCACCACCAGGAGUGGAGCCUGCGGCUUAAUUUGACUCAACACGGGAAACCUCACCAGGCCCAGACACCGGAAGGAUUGACAGAUUGAUAGCUCUUUCUUGAUUCGGUGGGUGGUGGUGCAUGGCCGUUCUUAGUUGGUGGAGCGAUUUGUCUGGUUAAUUCCGAUAACGAACGAGACUCUACCCUGCUAAAUAGGCGUACCUUAUGGUAUCGCGAAGGCCCCCGGCUUCGGCCGGUGGGUUUUUACUACCAACGUACAAACAAAUCUUCUUAGAGGGACAGGCGG